rnacentral:rRNA from 1 species
GACGAACGCUGGCGGCGUGCUUAACACAUGCAAGUCGAACGGUAAGGCCCUUCGGGGUACACGAGUGGCGAACGGGUGAGUAACACGUGGUGAUCUGCCCUGCACUUUGGGAUAAGCCUGGGAAACUGGGUCUAAUACCGAAUAGGACCAUGGACUUCACGGUUUGUGGUGGAAAGCUUUUGCGGUGUGGGAUGGGCCCGCGGCCUAUCAGCUUGUUGGUGGGGUAAUGGCCUACCAAGGCGACGACGGGUAGCCGGCCUGAGAGGGUGACCGGCCACACUGGGACUGAGAUACGGCCCAGACUCCUACGGGAGGCAGCAGUGGGGAAUAUUGCACAAUGGGCGCAAGCCUGGUGCAGCGACGCCGCGUGAGGGAUGACGGCCUUCGGUGUAAACCUACUUUCUAGCACAGACGAAGCGCAAGUGACGGUAUGUGCAGAAGAAGGACCGGCC